CAAUGUCCUACCAUAUUUCACGCCUUCCCCGUCUCUAGUGCAUAUUGAAUCUGAAAUAACUGCGAGAGGGGAAAAUGGGCGGUUACAAUGGCGAAUAUGACAACCAGGGCCGCAUAGAAAACUCUCAGAACACGACCCGGAGCGGAAUGGAAAGGCUGUGAGAGCGUUAACUCAACUCCGUGCAAAGUACGGAAGUGCGAUCCAACGCUUCGCAAUUAUUGUCAAAGAAUAAAUAUGUUUAUGAAGUACUAGAUGUUGCCCGGGGCUUCGCCCCCGUGGGAAUGUUGAAAUAAAAUAUAGCCUAUAGUAAUCUUGGAUUACCUUUCUAAUGGUUGAAUUUUCAAUCUACCAAAAGUGGAGCUUCUGUUCCAGUUAAUCUAUGCAUGAAAAACCCCGGAUUCUGUCGCUAGCUGUUCAUUUGUCACUGGAAUUACAAAAAGCUUGCGGUGUUGGACUCUGGUAAUGAGUUUAAUUCCGUCAGCGCUAACCGUUACUCACAAUUAAACUUGGCAAUAAUUAAUAAAUUUUGAAAUGUUUUCGAAGCUACUGCAAAUUGCUGUUGAGUGGUUCAGAGUUGUUCGGUCUCUGGAAAGUAUUAUAUAGAAGUAUUUUUCAAUGAGUUUAAUGAUAAUUUUUACAAAAAAUAUUAUAUAUAUAGUUACAUUGCGUGGAGAAGAAAAAUUAGACAAGUCCUGGUUACGUUUAACGGCUGAGGAAGAAAGGGGGAAAAAACUGAGAGUUAGUUAUUUCUCUUUCCGUAACAUCAAAUCUUCCUUUUAAAUCACUCUAUCUAUUGAAAAACCCGUGAUACAUAGGGAUAUUUGAAUCUAUCUAUUGAAAAA